AUUGAACGCUGGCGGCAUGCUUUACACAUGCAAGUCGAACGGUAACAGGCCGCAAGGUGCUUCCGAGUGGCGGCCGGUUGCGUAAUGCUUCGGAACGUGCCCAUUUCUGUGUUUUAACUACUCGUAACAUUGGCUAAUACCCCCUACUAUCUCUGGCUGAAAGCGGGUGACCGCAAGGCCUCUCCCGAUUUGAGCCGCCGAUGUCAGAUUAGGUCGUUGGUGGGGUAAAGGCUCACCAAGCCAACGAUCUGUAGCUGGUCUGAGAGGAAGACCAGCCACACUGGGACUGAGACACGGCCCAGACUCCUACGGGAGGCAGCAGUGGGGAAUAUUGGACAAUGGGCGCAAGCCUGAUCCAGCAAUGCCGCGUGAAGGAAGAAGGCCUUCGGGUUGUAAAGUGCUUUUGUACGGAAAGAAACGGAGCAGGUUAAUACCCGGGGGUAAUGACGGUACCGAAAGAAUAAGCACCGGCUAACUACGUG
rnacentral:rRNA from 1 species